CCCUCCAGUCCGGCUCCGGAUCGCGGUUGCCCAGCGCGCUGUUCCCUGCCGGGGGCGGGCCACGUUUGAUCUCCGGGCCCGCAGCGAGGGAUCGCGAAGGUAUUGAUCUAGGUGCUGCUGUGAAGGGAAUUUGCAGAUGUAAUUGGCCUAAAUCAGUUGGCUUUAAUAUCAGGAAAUUGUCCUCAGUGGGCAUGGCCAUAUGGAGCCCUUACAAGGGACUGGGCUCUUACUGGUGAAAAAGAUUUGAAUCACGAGAGUGGCUGAUACGAGGGAAAUUCUUUGCUGUUGCCUUCGAAGACAGAAGAGGUCCACAAGACAAAGGAUGCAGACAGCCUCUAGGAGCUGAGACUGGCUCCUGGCUGACAGCCAGCAAGGAAAUGAGGACCUCAGUCCUUCAAUCAUGAAGCAGACACCGACUUCUGCUAACAACCUGAAUACACUUCAAAGAGGAUUGUGAGCUCCAGCCGCCUACACAUUGAUUUCAGCAGUUGGGACCCUCAGCCGAGAACCCAGCUAUGCCGUGCCCAGAUUUAAGACCGACACAUCUGUGAGCUUGUAAGUGUGUGUUGCUUUAAGCUGCUAAGUUUGUGGUAAUAUGUUUCACUGCAAUAUAAAACUAAUACUUCUGUGUGC
rnacentral:antisense_RNA from 1 species